AUUUUUUAUGAUUUUAUGAAUUUAUUAAGAGUUUAUUUUACAUAUAAAUUUUAGUGUUAAUUUUUAAUUAUUUUAAUAAUAAUUAAUUAAGAUUGUAGUAAUUAGUAUUAAAAAUUUAAGAAAUUAGGAUUUAGUAAUAUUAAAAUUAAUAACAAAUUUUGUGCCAGCAGUUGCGGUUAUACAAAAAUUAAAUUAAAUUUUUUUAGAUAUUAAUUAAUAAAAAAUUAUUUAUAAGAAAAAUUAAAUUAUUAGGUGAAAUUUUAAUUUAAUAAAAUUUAUAUUUUUAUUUAUGAAAUUAAUAAAUUUAAAUUAAAAACUAGGAUUAGAUACCCUAUUAUUUUAAAUUUAAAAUUUUAUUCUAAAAUAGUAUGUAAUUAUUUAUUGAAACUUAAAUAAUUUGGCGGUAUUUUAGUUUAUUUAGAGGAAUCUGUUUAUUAAUUGAUAAUCCACGAUUAAAUUUACUUAAUUUAUUAUUUUGUAUAUCGUUGUUAAAAAAAUAUUUUUUAAUAAAAAUAAUAUUUAAAAAUUAAAAUUAAAAAUUAAAUCAGAUCAAGAUGCAGAUUAUAAUUAAGAAUAUAAUGGAUUACAAUAAAUUUAUUUAAAUGAAUGUUAAUUUGUAAAAUUUAAUUGAAGGUGGAUUUAAAUGUAAUUUUAUUUAAUAUAAUAUAAUGAUUAAAAAUUAAAAUAUGUACAUAUUGCCCGUCACUUUCAUAUAUAAAAUUGAAAUAAGUCGUAACAAAGUAGAGGUACUGGAAAGUGUUUCUAGAAAGA
rnacentral:ncRNA from 1 species